AUAAUUUUCUGAUUUUUGGAUUACAAAACAAAAAGGAAAAAGAGAAAAAGGCCAUGGUCAACUACUCCAAUGAUUUUGCCUUCUUCUUCACCCUUCCAUGGCCACUUGGCAAGCAUGCCAUCACACUCCCUCCUUCUUCCUCUACCAAAAAUUAUGUCACCAAUCUUUCUUCUUAGCUUCCUCAAGUAAAAAAUUCAGAAUAGUUACUUCAAUCUUCUCCCUUUCAACCACUGAUUUUGUAUUCCUAAUUUCACUAUAAAUAGCCAUGGAAAUCUCUCACCAAGAACACCAUCAACAAUAAUUUUCAUCCUUUCAUCUCACCUUACCACCACCUAAGAACUAAUCAGAAUUUUCAAUCAACAACUCGCCGGAAAACGCGACCCAAAGAAACUAAAAAAAAAACCUCAAUUUUCUCUCUCUCUCCUCCGUUUCGGGCUUCAAACACCACCACCACCGGCUGCCCCUCUGCGUCGACCGUCACUCGUCAGAGCUCCGCCAACCAAGAACAGCCUCGCGUCCUCUCUCUUCCUCGCACUCUUCUCUCUCGCACCUCUUCUUCUUCGCGUGCUGCUUUACCGCACUCACCACCGGCGACCUGCGCCACACCGCCGGAGACUGACGUCGCUGAUCGCCACUGCUCGUCGCCGUUCACCGGAGCCGGCGUCCAUUCCCCUGCCGCGAUUUCGUCCUUCCUGCUCCUAGUAGCAGAGGUACCGAUGGUGAUAACAGGAUGGCGUAGCAGUGAGGAUUAUUAUAAUAUCUAGAUUAUGUAGACUCUCAUGGUUUUAAUUUAAGUUAAUGUCAAAACUUUGAUUAGUAACUAAGCUUCUAUUAAUCAAGACUAAUGUUGGAUCCAUAUUAUAUUUCACUUUAUAAUAUGUUUAAGUUUAUGAA